AUGGAGGGGGGGGGGGGGGGGGCCGGGCUUCCCCUGGGAGACCGGCGCUUGCGGCUGAGCGGCGCGAGGCGCGUUGGGGAAAGACGGCGACAGGACACCCGCGGAGCUGGGAGUCUGCGGCUGGUUGGACAGAGGCUGCUGGGGCGUCUGGGGCGUGUUGGGCUGGGCGUGGGAGGUGGGAGUGCUGGGGGCGGCGGACGGGGGCGGGGACGGCAGGGGCAUGGUCCUGCCCUGCAUGGUGGCCAUUCUUCUCCUCAUCAGCUGGGCCUGCUGAAGUCUGUGCUGGAUCUGCUGCUGGCGGAGUUUGUGCUUGAUGUUCAGGCAGAACGGGACGGGGCACUUGUUCUCCUGACAGUGCUUGGCGUGGUAACAACACAGAGCGAUGAGCUGCUUGCACACGGGGCAGCCGCCGUUGGUCUUGCGCUUGCAGCCCUUGGUGUGCUGCACCACGCGCUUCAUCUUCUGGCAGGACGGCAGAGAGCAGUUGGCGUUGCGGCACUGGCAGGCGUGGACCAGGGACUGGAUGCAGCGCUGGAUGCUGAGGCGACGGCUCUCCUGCGGGCUCUUGGAGGCUUCCCCACUCUGGCCGUUGCUGUCGUCGUCCAGGCCGAGACCCCACUUCACCAUCUGAUGUUCGUGGCCCUUGGUGUUGUAGCAGUUAAUGCAGAGAUCAAAGUCCUGAGAGGGAAACAAAAAGUUAGCAACAAGCAGAUGAACCAAAAGCUGAGGUCAGCAGAGCUGGACUCUGCCGUCUCCAGACAGGACGAUGAGCUCACCUCACACACAGUGCAGUGCCAGCGAGUCUCCACAUGGUGCUUACACUCAUUACAAGUAUACACAAAGCGGUCCUGUCCCUGGUUGUGCAGUUCAACCAGCAUGCACAUUGUGCUCCACUUGCACCUCCGCAGGGAGCUGAACUCCCAGUGCUUAUCCCUGGCCAGGGUCAGGAAGGCGUCCCGACCGUCCAUUAGGUCACAGGAAAUCAGGGGGUCGGGGUCGGCAAUGGGAGGCAGAGUGUUGACCAUGGGACCCGAGUGA
rnacentral:lncRNA from 1 species